CCCAUGGGGGCCUGGCUCGAUUUUCUGUUUUCCCCACACGUGGCUUUCUUAUCCUACUUGACAACACAGAAAAUAUUCAUUUGUGAUCUCGGGGACAUUGCUGACGCUUCUCUUACCCUUGACUCCAGGUGAACAGCCUGCAGACAGUCUGCAUCAAUAUAUACAAGAUCUUCCUGCUUCAGGCCUACAGGUUCCAUGCAUGUGUGAUUCGGCUUCCCUUUGGCCAGCAUGUUAGGAAGAACCAUGCAUUCUUUCUGGGCAUCAUCUCCAACCUAGCAUCCUGCUGCUACGCCAUCCUGAAGGUCAAGAAUCCAGGAGUGUCACUAAGGGCCAAGGGUGCCCCUGGCUCCUUUCCGCCCGAGGCCACACGUUGGCUCUGCUACCAAGCCUUCCUGCUCAAGCUGGCUGCUCAUUCUGUCACCUACAAGUGUCUCCUGGGACCUCUUAGGACAGGUGAGUGAGCUCCGUCCCCUCAGACAGUGAGUGCCCAGGUGAACCCAAAGGCAGACUAUACAUGUGCCCAUCUCCUGGGGAGGGGCC
rnacentral:lncRNA from 1 species